rnacentral:rRNA from 1 species
UGGGUGAUAAGGUCCGUGUUCGAAAGGGAAACAGCCCAGACCACCAGCUAAGGUCCCAAAAUAUAUGUUAAGUGGAAAAGGAUGUGGCGUUGCCCAGACAACUAGGAUGUUGGCUUAGAAGCAGCCAUCAUUUAAAGAGUGCGUAAUAGCUCACUAGUCGAGUGACACUGCGCCGAAAAUGUACCGGGGCUAAACAUAUUACCGAAGCUGUGGAUUGUCCUUUGGACAAUGGUAGGAGAGCGUUCUAAGGGCGUUGAAGCAUGAUCGUAAGGACAUGUGGAGCGCUUAGAAGUGAGAAUGCCGGUGUGAGUAGCGAAAGACGGGUGAGAAUCCCGUCCACCGAUUGACUAAGGUUUCCAGAGGAAGGCUCGUCCGCUCUGGGUUAGUCGGGUCCUAAGCUGAGGCCGACAGGCGUAGGCGAUGGAUAACAGGUUGAUAUUCCUGUACCACCUAUAAUCGUUUUAAUCGAUGGGGGGACGCAGUAGGAUAGGCGAAGCGUGCGAUUGGAUUGCACGUCUAAGCAGUAAGGCUGAGUAUUAGGCA